GUAAAUAUUCAAAAUACUUGGUGUAAUAGGCCCAAUUUGCCCAGACCAUAAUCAAAUCAAAAUAAAUAUAUAUAAACCAAACACAAAAAUUAGUCCAUUGGCCCAGAACAUUAAACCCAAAUGGCCCAAUUGCACUUAGCCCCGUUUACUUAAGCCCACUAGCCUGAAUACCCGCAUAACCCACUAUCUAAAAGCCCAAUCAGCCCAAAGCUAAGAGAACAAGAGACCCUAGGGUUUCUGCAAACUCUAGCCGCCGCAGUCAAGCUGAGCCUCCUCCUGCGCAUGUUGCGUUCCUGCGCGUGCAGCGCCUUCGCGCCAGGUCCACACGUACCUUCUCCAGGCUGGCAUCGUACCUGCACAACGGAAGCAAUAAACUAGCGACGCAAAAGAAAAACAAAAAAAAUAGCAAGCAAAUAACAGAAAUAGAGAAGAGAUUUUAGAUUUUUUAUUUCGAUUUUUAUUUUUCUUCUAUUCGAAUCGGCUAUAUAAGGCCGAUUCCAACACUGUAAAUGAGUUACACACACAGAAUAUCAAUAGAAAAAUCAGAAAAACAAAAGCUGAGUUUUUGGAAGGUGAUUUCUUUUUAAAGUUUUUUUCUUUAUCUAUCGUUCUGUUCUUGUUUCUUUUGGGGGUAUACCUGAAAUAAAAAAGGAAAAGGCGAGGAUCUCACCUUCGCAAGGACACCGAUGAAGCCCUGUUCGCUCCGUUCAAAUCGAGGCCAGAGGGGUUUCACAUUUGGAGGCGGUAGAGGGGAAUGAUUCGGGUCUAAAGUGG
rnacentral:lncRNA from 1 species